GACGAACGCUGGCGGCGUGCUUAACACAUGCAAGUCGAACGAAGAGACUUGGAAGCUUGCUUCUAAGAAUCUUAGCGGCGAACGGGUGAGUAACGCGUAAUCAACCUGCCCUUCAGAGGGGGACAACAGUUGGAAACGACUGCUAAUACCGCAUACGAUCCAAUCUCGGCAUCGAGACUGGAUGAAAGGUGGCCUCUAUUUAUAAGCUAUCACUGAAGGAGGGGAUUGCGUCUGAUUAGCUAGUUGGAGGGGUAACGGCCCACCAAGGCGAUGAUCAGUAGCCGGUCUGAGAGGAUGAACGGCCACAUUGGGACUGAGACACGGCCCAGACUCCUACGGGAGGCAGCAGUGGGGAAUCUUCCGCAAUGGACGAAAGUCUGACGGAGCAACGCCGCGUGAGUGAUGAAGGCCUUCGGGUUGUAAAGCUCUGUUAAUCGGGACGAAUGGUUCUUGUGCAAAUAGUGCGAGGAU
rnacentral:rRNA from 1 species